CUGGGAGGACCAUCUCCUAAGGCUAAAUACUCUCUAGUGACCGAUAGUGAACCAGUACCGUGAGGGAAAGGUGAAAAGCACCCCGGAAGGGGAGUGAAAUAGAACCUGAAACCGUGUGCUUACAAGUAGUCAGAGCCCGUUAAUGGGUGAUGGCGUGCCUUUUGUAGAAUGAACCGGCGAGUUACGAUUUGAUGCAAGGUUAAGCAGUAAAUGUGGAGCCGUAGCGAAAGCGAGUCUGAAUAGGGCGUUUAGUAUUUGGUCGUAGACCCGAAACCAGGUGAUCUACCCUUGGUCAGGUUGAAGUUCAGGUAACACUGAAUGGAGGACCGAACCGACUUACGUUGAAAAGUGAGCGGAUGAACUGAGGGUAGCGGAGAAAUUCCAAUCGAACCUGGAGAUAGCUGGUUCUCUCCGAAAUAGCUUUAGGGCUAGCCUCAAGUGAUGAUUAUUGGAGGUAGAGCACUGUUUGGACGAGGGGCCCCUCUCGGGUUACCGAAUUCAGACAAACUCCGAAUGCCAAUUAAUUUAACUUGGGAGUCAGAACAUGGGUGAUAAGGUCCGUGUUCGAAAGGGAAACAGCCCAGACCACCAGCUAAGGUCCCAAAAUAUAUGUUAAGUGGAAAAGGAUGUGGCGUUGCCCAGACAACUAGGAUGUUGGCUUAGAAGCAGCCAUCAUUUAAAGAGUGCGUAAUAGCUCACUAGUCGAGUGACACUGCGCCGAAAAUGUACCGGGGCUAAACAUAUUACCGAAGCUGUGGAUUGUCCUUUGGACAAUGGUAGGAGAGCGUUCUAAGGGCGUUGAAGCAUGAUCGUAAGGACAUGUGGAGCGCUUAGAAGUGAGAAUGCCGGUGUGAGUAGCGAAAGACGGGUGAGAAUCCCGUCCACCGAUUGACUAAGGUUUCCAGAGGAAGGCUCGUCCGCUCUGGGUUAGUCGGGUCCUAAGCUGAGGCCGACAGGCGUAGGCGAUGGAUAACAGGUUGAUAUUCCUGUACCACCUAUAAUCGUUUUAAUCGAUGGGGGGGACGCAGUAGGAUAGGCGAAGCGUGCGAUUGGAUUGCACGUCUAAGCAGUAAGGCUGAGUAUUAGGCAAAUCCGGUACUCGCUAAGGCUGAGCUGUGAUGGGGAGAAGACAUUGUGUCUUCGAGUCGUUGAUUUCACACUGCCGAGAAAAGCCUCUAGAUAGAAAAUAGGUGCCCGUACCGCAAACCGACACAGGUAGUCAAGAUGAGAAUUCUAAGGUGAGCGAGCGAACUCUCGUUAAGGAACUCGGCAAAAUGACCCCGUAACUUCGGGAGAAGGGGUGCUCUUUAGGGUUAACGCCCAGAAGAGCCGCAGUGAAUAGGCCCAAGCGACUGUUUAUCAAAAACACAGGUCUCUGCUAAACCGUAAGGUGAUGUAUAGGGGCUGACGCCUGCCCGGUGCUGGAAGGUUAAGAGGAGUGGUUAGCUUCUGCGAAGCUACGAAUCGAAGC
rnacentral:rRNA from 1 species